AAAACCACCUAGGAGGGACGCUACCAUGAUAAUAAAGAUUAUUUUCCCAGGGUGAUGCUCAUCCAUUACACUCCAGGUGUUCUGACCCCUGGAUUUUCCCAAACUUGACUGGAUAAUUUGUGGUAGUGGGCAGAGUGCAUUAAUAAUACACACUUUUCCAAA